rnacentral:rRNA from 1 species
GACGAACGCUGGCGGCGUGCCUAACACAUGCAAGUCGAGCGAAUGAAGUUUCUUCGGGAACGGAUUUAGCGGCGGACGGGUGAGUAACACGUGGCAACCUGCCUCAUAGAGGGGAAUAGCCUUCCGAAAGGGAGAUUAAUACCGCAUAAGAUUGUAGUACCGCAUGGUACAGCAAUUAAAGGAGCAAUCCGCUAUGAGAUGGGCCCGCGGCGCAUUAGCUAGUUGGUGAGGUAACGGCUCACCAAGGCGACGAUGCGUAGCCGACCUGAGAGGGUGAUCGGCCACAUUGGGACUGAGACACGGCCCAGACUCCUACGGGAGGCAGCAGUGGGGAAUAUUGCACAAUGGGGGAAACCCUGAUGCAGCAACGCCGCGUGAGUGAUGACGGCCUUCGGGUUGUAAAGCUCUGUCUUCAGGGACGAUAAUGACGGUACCUGAGGAGGAAGCCACGGCUAACUACGUGCCAGCAGCCGCAGUAACAC